rnacentral:rRNA from 1 species
CACGCCGUAAACGAUGAAUGCUAGGUGUUAGGGAGCCCGAUCUCCUUAGUGCCGAAGUUAACACAUUAAGCAUUCCGCCUGGGGAGUACGGCCGCAAGGCUGAAACUCAAAGGAAUUGACGGGGACCCGCACAAGCAGUGGAGCAUGUGGUUUAAUUCGAAGCAACGCGAAGAACCUUACCAGGUCUUGACAUCCCGCUGACCGGGCCAGAGAUGGUCCUUUCCUUCGGGACAGCGGAGACAGGUGG